GACGAACGCUGGCGGCGUGCCUAAUACAUGCAAGUAGAACGCUGAAGGAGGAGCUUGCUCUUCUGGAUGAGUUGCGAACGGGUGAGUAACGCGUAGGUAACCUGCCUGGUAGCGGGGGAUAACUAUUGGAAACGAUAGCUAAUACCGCAUAAUAGUAGAUGUUGCAUGAUAUUUACUUAAAAGGUGCAAUUGCACCACUACCAGAUGGACCUGCGCUGUAUUAGCUAGUUGGUGGGGUAACGGCUCACCAAGGCGACGAUACAUAGCCGACCUGAGAGGGUGAUCGGCCACACUGGGACUGAGACACGGCCCAGACUCCUACGGGAGGCAGCAGUAGGGAAUCUUCGGCAAUGGACGAAAGUCUGACCGAGCAACGCCGCGUGAGUGAAGAAGGUUUUCGGAUCGUAAAGCUCUGUUGUAAGAGAAGAACGAGUGUGAGAGUGGAAAGUUCACACUGUGACGGUAUCUUACCAGAAAGGGACGGCUAACUACGUG
rnacentral:rRNA from 1 species